GUAGGUGGCAAGCGUUAUCCGGAAUUAUUGGGCGUAAAGCGCGCGCAGGCGGUCUCUUAAGUCUGAUGUGAAAGCCCACGGCUCAACCGUGGAGGGUCAUUGGAAACUGGGAGACUUGAGUGCAGGAGAGAAAAGUGGAAUUCCACGUGUAGCGGUGAAAUGCGUAGAGAUGUGGAGGAACACCAGUGGCGAAGGCGGCUUUUUGGCCUGUAACUGACGCUGAGGCGCGAAAGCGUGGGGAGCAAACAGGAUUAGAUACCCUGGUAGUCCACGCCGUAAACGAUGAGUGCUAGGUGUUGGGGGGUUCCACCCUCAGUGCUGAAGUUAACACAUUAAGCACUCCGCCUGGGGAGUACGACCGCAAGGUUGAA
rnacentral:rRNA from 1 species